rnacentral:rRNA from 1 species
UACGUAGGGUCCAAGCGUUAUCCGGAAUUACUGGGCGUAAAGCGUGUGUAGGCGGCGCGUUAAGUGCAACGCGAAAUCCUGUGGCUCAACCAUAUGGACUGUGUUGCAUACUGGCGUGCUUGAGGAUGGCAGAGGCAAGUGGAAUUUGUAGUGUAGCAGUGAAAUGCGUAGAUAUUACAAGGAACACCAAUGGCGAAGGCAGCUUGCUGGGCCUGUCAACGUCUGGAAGACACGAAAGCGUGGGGAGCGAACAGG